rnacentral:rRNA from 1 species
UACGGAGGGUGCGAGCGUUAAUCGGAAUUACUGGGCGUAAAGCGCGCGGAGGCGGUUUGUUAAGUCGGAUGUGAAAUCCCCGGGCUCAACCUGGGAAUGGCAUUCGAUACUGGCCGACUAGAGUACGAGAGAGGGAGGUAGAAUUCCACGUGUAGCGGUGAAAUGCGUAGAUAUGUGGAGGAAUACCGGUGGCGAAGGCGGCCUCCUGGCUCGAUACUGACGCUGAGGUGCGAAAGCGUGGGUAGCAAACAGG